UACGUAGGGCGCAAGCGUUAUCCGGAAUUAUUGGGCGUAAAGCGCACGUAGGCGGUUCGUUAAGUCGGAUGUGAAAGCCCUCGCUCAACUGAGGAAGUGCACCCGAAACUGGCGAGCUUGAGUACGAAAGAGGAUCGCGGAAUUCCCGGUGUAGAGGUGAAAUGCGCAGAUAUCGGGAGGAACACCAGUAGCGAAGGCGGCACUCUGGGCCGGUACUGACGCUGAGGCGCGAAAAGCGUGGGGAGCAAACAGG
rnacentral:rRNA from 1 species